rnacentral:rRNA from 1 species
GACGAACGCUGGCGGCGUGCCUAAUACAUGCAAGUCGAACGCUGAAGGAGGAGCUUGCUUCGCUGGAUGAGUCGCGCACGGGUGAGUAACGCGUAGGUAACCUGCCUGGUAGCGGGGGAUAACUAUUGGAAACGAUAGCUAAUACAGCCUAAGAGUAGAUGAUGCAUGACAUUUGCUGAAAAGGUGCCAUUGCGUCACUACCAGAUGGACCUGCGUUGUCUUAGCUAGUUGGUGAGGUAACGGCGCACCCAGGCGACUAUACAGAGCCGAGCUGGGAGGGUGGUCGGCCCCACUGGGAAUGAGACACGGCCCAGACUCCUACGGGAGGCAGCAGUAGGGAAUCUUCGGCAAUGGACGGAAGUCUGACCGAGCAACGCCGCGUGAGGGAAGAAGGUUUUCGGAUCGUAAAGCUCUGUUGUAAGAGAAGAAAGAGUGUGAGAGUGGAAAGUUCACACUGUGACGGUACCUUAACAGAAAGGGACGGCUAACUACGUG